GGCUGGGCUCCAGCCCUCCCUACCUUCUUCUGCAUGCAGUCCUCGGCCAGGGAGUCGCAGCACUGGGAGGACACCUCGGCAGCGCCCUCGGCCAGGGGCAGAAGGUCCUCGAAGGGAGCAGUGGGAACCUUCUGGGCCAGCGAGGCCAGGGUCUGCAGCAGGAGAGAGGAGCCCUGCCCCUGUUCCAGGGUGGAGAGGCCAUUUCCCCCUGUACCUGAAGCUGACUUUGUCCUUGCCAUAGGCCGAGAAGCGGGAGCAAAUCCGGUUUGACGUCAGGCAGGAGGGGUCAGCCCCGUCGGCGCAGCAGGUCUCGGCCAGGGAGACGAUUUCCCGCACGAGGCUGCCGAUCUCCUCGAAGGUGCCGUUGGAAUAUUUGCGGCUGUUGGCAACCAUGGUCCUGGCAGCAGGGACAGGGAGAGCCAGGUGUCCAGCAGCAGGAGGUACCUACAUGGUUCUGAAGUUCUCCUUUCCCAGGAUCUUGUACUCCUGGCAGACUUUCUCCCGGACAUAAGCUUUCCCUGAAAGUGCAGGAGAAGGAGGAAUUGAGGAUUUGGUGGUCCCUGGGGAGAUAUUGGCACAGCCGGCCUGGGAGAAGCAUCCCUGGUGUCCAGGCUGCUGCUCCAGCCCCACAGCCAGGGAAAGGAGCAGGGAGAAAACCCUUCCUGGAGCUGGGAGAGCUACAGGUAAAUCACACAGCAGUUUUUGGAGGAUGGAAUAUGUGGGGUUGGGUUUUUUUGGCAGGGCCUGGAAACCAUAAGGGCUGGGAAACCAUGCGGGGCCAGGUCCAGGGAGCAGCCAGGAGUGAAAACAUUCCCGGCAGCGCUGCCAUCCCUGGAAAAGCGCGAUCGAUCCGUGUGGGGCCAGACUUUGGCACCAGCAGGGUAAACACGGCCCCCGGCGUUCCCUGGGAUUGCAGCGUGGGGCAGGGUCACCUCCCCAAAACCAGGACUCGGAGGGUCACCUCGCCCCGCUGGGAAUGGAGGGGCUGCCCCAAAAGGGGAAACCAUGGAGCAGGCGCGUUUCUUUCCCGGCAGGAACGCCGGCUCCCGGUCCCAACCCGUGGCAUUGCCGUUCACUUGUACAAAGCCGUGUGGGAGAGGUGAGGUCUGGGUGUUUUUUGGCAGGUGGGCAGUCCCUGUGGAGCUGAGGAGGCAGCCGAGGGCGGCAGAGCACGGUUUCCACCAAGGGGGAUGGGUGAAACCUCGGGAUCUGUGAAGGAUGCCGGGAGCAACACGAGCGACAGGACGAGAAGAAGCUCUCGGGUCCAAGGAGAAGAUCCAGCUGAAGUGAUCCUCGCUGUCCUGCCUGGACAGCUGAUGAGAGGGAAGCACAGAGGGAGGGAUGGAGAUCCAGCUGCUGCAGUGGGACCCCUGGCUCCCAAAUCCGCCCAGCCUCCAUGC